rnacentral:misc_RNA from 1 species
GAAACAUCCAUCUAAGUCCACCAAAACAACUGGAAAUGACAGAGGCAUAGAAUCUCAGAAUGAGAUUAACACCUUGACAUCACUUCACAAAUGUACAGUACAGAACAGUGUCACUCUUGUCCCAAUAGUUUACCAAGUUGUAACCAGCAACUCAAAUUACUGGACACAACAUGGAGUAGAUAAUUUAACAAUCUUCAUUCUGUUUAACAAACAAAAUAAAACGGUAUCAGCAUCACAAUUGCUUCAUUUUCCCUUCAAAACACAUGAAUAUGAACUUAUGUUGCAAAGACAGACGCUGAGAUUCAUUAUUCAAGAAGGCCAAGAAACUUACUGGGCCUAGCUAAAACACUAAAUUCAAGAAAAGGAUGAUAAAAAAGCAGAAACCAAAACCAUAAUUCUUUAUCCUCGAUAUCAUCAGGAACCAAAAUUUAAAGACCUAUGACCCAUCCUUGAUGGAAAUGACGAGGAAAUUGCCAAAAUUAACAGUGCAAAUUGAGAAGAAGACAAAGAUACUAUAUCAAUUCUUUCUCACAAGAGCCAUAGAAGGGCAAAACUUUCAGUCAGCCAUCAAUACAAGAACUACACCCACGUUUGGCCGCUGAGAAAAUUAAUAGGGAUAAUCACCAGUUCAUCUGAACCAGAAAAAUUCAAACAAAAAACAAUUUCCUUUUUUGUGGAAAAAGAAUAAGUAGUUGCCUUGGCAAUUGAGUUUCCUCCAAUUUUCUUAGUUUCCACAUCAACCAAACAGAUUAAUAU